rnacentral:other from 1 species
AAAUAACUGGAACGUUCGAGGCCGCACAAAUUGAACCUACAAAUAAGACCUACGGGAUUCCAACAUUUGAAUGCUCAUAUAAUGCCUUCCAUUUGGUCAAGGACUAUAGCGGUAUUCGUGAGGUCUCCCACCUAGCAUACAGGCUAGGAGUCAAGCGUGUGGUACGGCGUUUUGGUCUUACU